CCGCUCUCUCCCACCUCCAUAGCCAGAAAGCUUUGUUUCUUCUUCUUUCUUCCCUCUGUUCCCAAUCUCUCUGAAUAUCCUCCAUUUUCCUUCUUCAAAUCCGCCAUUUCUUCAUUUCUGUUCUUUCUCUGACCUCCCAUCGCCCUCUGCUGCAAUGGCUGUAGCAGAGUUGUCAUCCUCUUUAAAAACUGAACUCAACUUCUCAUCCAAGACUGUUUUUCAGUCCAAUCGUUCCUCCAACCACCGUCGCUGCUCUUUCCGGCCGUUUCAUCGACCCCGAAGUCCCCGAGUCACUUGCUCUGUUGCGCCCAAUCAAGUUGAAGCAGCUCCAGUUGCAGCGAAAACAGAGGACCCUAAAAGUAAAAGCGAGUGUUAUGGUGUUUUUUGCCUCACCUAUGACUUAAAAGCUGAGGAAGAGACAACAUCAUGGAAGAAACUGAUUAAUGUUGCAGUCUCUGGUGCUGCUGGAAUGAUAUCCAACCAUCUUCUCUUCAAGCUUGCAUCUGGUGAAGUUUUCGGUCCUGAUCAACCGGUUGCAUUGAAGCUAUUGGGAUCAGAAAGGUCAUUCCAAGCACUUGAAGGUGUUGCCAUGGAAUUGGAGGACUCCCUUUUCCCUUUAUUGAGGGAGGUGGUGAUAA
rnacentral:misc_RNA from 1 species